UCAAGUGCAAAUCAUUCCUUAAGUAUAAACUACAAACACAUCUUAACUGUUAAAGUAAAAUUCACUCCAGAAAAGUAAAUACAAAAAAUAUGUAUCUAUCAAUACAAGUUGAAAGUCAUACAUACUGAAAACGUGAUGGAGGGA